CAUUCAGGGUGAGCAACGCCAUGGAAGAACCGAAAAGACAGAUGCAUGCUUUUAUAAUUAAGUGAAAAAUUAUUUCGAAAAUUUCGUCUGUAAUGCAUGGUUGCAACACAAGGCGGUAUAACCAACCAAGAUGGGACAACACUGAUCAACUUAAUUAAAAUCUAUGUUUUAAUAUCGCUGACCGUGAAAUCCGCAAGCAGCCAGUGUACACUUUGAAAAGUCAAGGACGUUUAAACAAGAGGCUGGACUUUUGGGAAAAUGCCGAAAGGAGCAGCUUAACACGUUUCCCUCAAUGACGAGCUGAACUGGCCACAUGGACACACCUUGUGGCUGCCUUCCAAGCUCUCUAAUGCUGCAAUCUCGCGGCCGACUGGCGGUGCAAUGCUGUAAAAUGGCGGGACACAUCACAGGGAUCGAACGGACCCAUGUAAUGGCGGGAGACAGAGGAAAAAAAGGCUUGAAAUAAUGUCAGCCGCCGAGUAAAUCAAUGAGGCUAACAAAAAAGACUUGCCAGAUUUAGAAUAAACUGCACAAUUCGGUGCUAAACUGUAAUCUAAUUUUCCCAAAGUAAUCUUCUGUUGCUAAUACUGCACGAUUUUCAUUAUUUCAAGGACAUCAGCCCUAGUAGGGUUCUCAUUGGACGCAGUCAUCAAUUAACUUACCUUUCAGAAAUUGGGCAGCUCGAGCAGGGAUAUCACAUGAUCCACUGGGAGUGUAGCAGGAUUUCAAUGCGACGCAGAAUGGAGACGGUUGCGAUUAUCCACAACCUCUAAGCACUACCAGUGGAGCGAAUAGGUACAGCUCCACAGUGAUCAUAUUUGUAACGCAAUCACUGCUCAACAGUACAGCAUAUUUUAAGGCUCCAGUGUUUUCUUCCUUAAAACAGAAAGGCCUGGUAAUAUUUUACUUCAAAAUAGAAACCAGUAUAAUCUCGGUUUUAGAAAAAUUCAAUUAUAAUUUGUGCAUUUUACAAACAGCCCUUAAGCAUAUUUCUGGUUGUGAACACAUUCGUUUGUCCAAAUUAAAUCGAUUUUGUCAAGUGAGGUUGGUUCAAAAAACUAGUGUAGUAUACUGUUUAACUCUGGAACGGUGUAAAUGGAAAGCAUAAAUUUUAAGGCAUGGUCGUUAAACAACCUGCAGGAUCCCUUAGUACACAAACAACAAUAUUCACAAAUACAAAUAUUCACUUCUACUAAUGUAUAAUAAUAGCACCAGAGGUCUGGCAAGCUUUGCAUGGAUUGCUGCUUAAAGAAUCAUAGAAGCACACUCAACUGCAGUUAUAAAAAUGUCUUUUUUAGUUAAAUACCAUGAACUGGAUAUUAUCCACAAAAUACUCUCAAAGUUAGUCCCUGAAGCCAUCAUAGCAAACAUCUGAAGUCCAUGAAAUUUGCCUAAAGCUCAUCUCAUAGUCAAAAAAGGAAACUGAACAAUUCCAAUGAACUAACAGAUAAGUUAGCUUAUUAUCAGUGAUAGGAAAAAUAAUGGAACCAUUCAAAGAUGCAGCAGGAAAAUAUCUAGAAAACGAAAAUACAAGAAUAGUCAACAGAUUUCAAAAGGGAAUUCCAUUCUUGAUUAACCUAAUUGAUUUCUUUGAAGUAGUAACAGGAAAAAGUAGACAAGGGUAAUGCAGGGAUUUGAUAUAUAUAGACUUUUAAAAUGCCUUCAAUAAGAGCAUAACUAAGAUUAGAGAAUGAGUCAAGGAACAAAUCACUGAAUGGAUAGCAAACUGGCUAUAAAACAAAAAAGAGAGAAUUAAAGUUUACGGUAGUUACUCAGACUGGGGAGAAAUGGGAAGUGAUGAUCCAAAAAAGAACAAUCCUCAUGGUCAUCAAUAAUCUAGCCCGAAGCAUUAACAAAGCUACAUCAACUACCAUCUUUCACAAGCAGGAUGGCUUGAGUCACAUGCACCGCAGUCAUCUUAAUUAUGCCUUAUACUAUACAACAUUGCUCGAGGCUAAAUAAAGACAGAUUGAAGUUGGGAUCUUGUUGCAAGUUUCAGCAAUGUCACCAUCCUGUUGCUUAGCAACCUGCAGAUAUUUCAGAUUUAAAAUGUUUGUUUUGCUCUUUACAAUUCAUUUUUAAACUACAUAUCUAUAAUAUUAAAUAUCUUACAUUUGA